rnacentral:lncRNA from 1 species
AGUGACGUUCUAUACUCACUCGGUUCAAAGAAGGCAUUACUAACAACUAAUAAUAAAUAAUAACUAUUACUAUAAUAGAAAUGUAAUAAGUACGAAAUAUCUACAAUGCCUCAAGUAUACACAAUAUGUUAUAAUGAGUUACUAGUGAAGUUACUCGCGCAUUGUGGCAGGCUAAUAUUAUAAAAAAGAUAAAAAAUUGAUGGAAGUAAUAUUUUUAAAAUUUUUUAAGUUGCAAUGAGACAUUAAUAAAUACAAAUAGUAUGAGAAAAAAAAGAAUGAAGAGAUAUUAUUUUACUCAUUUUUUCUUGUGAAAAUAAUUUGUUCAGAUGACAAUAGACUAUUUGAAUACAUUAAUUAAAAAAUUGAGCGAGUGAGAAGACAAAACAUCAGGCGGAAAUAGGAGUUGGGAAGGUGAAGCACCAUGGAAUGGAAAAGGGGGAGAAGCCAAGGGUGAAGGAGGAAUUAUCAUGUGGCAAAUCUAUGGAAAAUAAUAUAUAGGUAUAGAUUUUGUCAUUGACUACAUAGAU